ACUCAGCACCCUACUAGUGAGCUAGGGAUGUGUCCACAUAAUAUGAGGCAGGGCCCUGUCUGUUUUGCUUAACCUCCACUAGUGGCAGAUACUCCCCAGAGAGCCAGUUCCCUUGAUGGAGAUGAGGAAAAAGCCGCCAAGACCUUAAUGGUAAAGAGGCUGAUGUCACAACUUCAAGGCCCUGCUGAAGGUCACGCAGCCAGGUUAGCAGUUCAAGCAGGUUUGCCUUUGCUGAAGAAGCAGCAGGCCUGAAAUUGUCCUGUGGUUUCAUAAAUCAGAAUCGGUAAAAAACACCUUGCCUUACAACUACAAACCAGGGAGUUGUCCUAAAGUGAGCAGGAGAACACUCAGAAGCAAAUGGAAAGGUUGGUUUUCCUCCCUUGCGCUGUGCCAUCCCGCGCUGAUACCAGGGCCUCUAGUCCCUGUGGCCCGCUCCAAGCUCUGCACACACACCCCCCCCUCCGCGGCCCGCAGUUUUCUGGCUUCCUCUCUAGCCCUGGGGCAAGCUGGGCCUCUCUCGGAGAAGCCUGUCCCAGAGCCAGGCCUGGAAAGACAACAGCGAGAAACUGUGGCAGGGUUUGCAGCAGCUCAGUACAAAAAAAAAAAAAAAAAAAAGUUUGGUUCGGGGCUGCAGCUGGCAGUUCGGAUUUGGGGGCGGAGUCGAGGGGGGGUCACCACUAGGUCAGGUUCAAGUGUGCA